GAUUCCGUAUUUCAAUUGGUAGAAAAGAGGUGAAUAACUUUAGAAUGAAGGUUCGACCCCUUCCGGAAUAA
rnacentral:tRNA from 2 species